rnacentral:lncRNA from 1 species
CCCUUCCCCAAGAGCCAGCAGCAGCGAGCCAUGGCCACCUCGACCGCCGCCGUGCUGUCCCCGCCGUCCGUCGCCGGGCUCCGCCUGGCGCCGUCGCCCAGGGCGCGCGUGUCGUUCCGGGCCACGCCGGCGCGGCGGUCCGUGGCGGCGCGGGCGGAGCUGAGCCCGUCGCUGGUGAUCAGCCUCAGCACCGGCGUGUCGCUCUUCCUGGGCCGCUUCGUCUUCUUCAACUUCCAGCGGGAGAACGUGGCGAAGCAGGUCCCCGAGCAGAACGGCAAGACGCACUUCGACGCCGGCGACGAGCGGGCCAAGGAGUACGCCGGCCUGCUCAAGUCCAACGACCCCGUGGGGUUCAACCUCGUCGACGUCCUCGCCUGGGGCUCGCUCGGCCACAUCGUCGCCUACUACAUCCUCGCCACCUCCAGCAACGGAUACGACCCCAACUUCUUCUGAGCGACGGGCGCGUUCGUUCUUGCUGUAAUCUGCUCGGCGUGUUGGUGUUACUGCGUUGUAUCUGAUGCCGGAAAGAUUGGUUAAUUUGGACAAGUAGUG